rnacentral:rRNA from 1 species
CCUACUGGAGGCAGCAGUAGGGAAUUUUGCGCAAUGGGCGAAAGCCUGACGCAGCAACGCCGCGUGAUCUAGACGCCCUUCGUGGUGUAAAGAUCUGUCAGUGGUGACUAAACUUGACGGUACCCACAGAGGAAGCACCGGCUAACUCCGUGCCAGCAGCCGCGUUAAUACGGGGGGUGCACGCUGUGUCCGGAAUCAUUGGGCGUAAAGAGUUCGUAGGCGGAACGUAAAGUCGGGUGUUAAAGGCAGAGGAUAAACUUCUGUACGGCACUGGAUACUUGCGAGCUAGAAUGCGGUAGAGGUAAAGGGAAUUCCUGGUGUAGCGGUGAAAUGCUGAGAUAGCAGGAGGAACAUCGGUGGCGUAAGCGCUUUACUGGGCCGUAAUUGACGCUGAGGAAAGAAAGCCAGGGGAGCAAAUGGGAUUAGAUACCCCUGUAGUC